rnacentral:rRNA from 1 species
UACGUAGGGGGCAAGCGUUGUCCGGAUUUACUGGGCGUAAAGCGCGCGUAGGCGGGAAGAGAAGUCCGGUGGGAAAGCCCACGGCUCAACCGUGGAAGGACGCUGGAAACUCUCUUUCUUGAGGGCGGCAGAGGGAAGUGGAAUUGCUGGUGUAGCGGUGAAAUGCGUAGAUAUCAGCAGGAACACCCGUGGCGAAGGCGGCUUCCUGGGCCGGUACUGACACUGAGACGCGAAAGCGUGGGGAGCAAACAGG